rnacentral:rRNA from 1 species
GACGAACGCUGGCGGCGUGCUUAAUACAUGCAAGUAGAACGGAAAGGCUAUGCUUUAGCUGGGUGCUCGAGAGGCUGACGGGUGAGAAACACGUGAGUACCCUGCGCUUACCUGCGGGGUAACUUCAGGAAACUGGGGCUAAUACCGGAUAAGAGCUCAUACUACUUGGUAUGGGAUGGAAAGUUUCGGCGGUUGGGGAUGGCCUCGCGGCUUAUCAGCUUGUUGGUGGGGUAGUGGCUUACCAAGGCAUCGACGGGUAGCCGGCCUGAGAGGGUGACCGGCCACAUUGGGACUGAGAUACGGCCCAGACUCCUACGGGAGGCAGCAGUGGGGAAUAUUGCACAAUGGGCGGAAGCCUGAUGCAGCAACGCCGCGUGCGGGAUGACGGCCUUCGGGUUGUAACCCGCUUUCGCCUGUGACGAAGCGUGAGUGACGGUAAUGGGUAAAGAAGCACCGGCUAACUACGUG